AUUGAACGCUGGCGGCAGGCCUAACACAUGCAAGUCGAGCGGGGUUUUCGGACCUAGCGGCGGACGGGUGAGUAAUGCGUAGGAAGCUGCCCGAUAGAGGGGGAUACCAGUUGGAAACGACUGUUAAUACCGCGUAAUGUCUACGGACCAAAGUGUGGGACCUUCGGGCCACAUGCUAUCGGAUGCGCCUACGUGGGAUUAGCUAGUUGGUGAGGUAAUGGCUCACCAAGGCGACGAUCUCUAGCUGGUUUGAGAGGAUGAUCAGCCACACUGGAACUGAGACACGGUCCAGACUCCUACGGGAGGCAGCAGUGGGGAAUAUUGGAUAAUGGGCGCAAGCCUGAUCCAGCCAUGCCGCGUGUGUGAAGAAGGCCUUCGGGUUGUAAAGCACUUUCAGCGAGGAGGAAGGGUGGUGUGAUAAUAGCACAUCAUUUUGACGUUACUCGCAGAAGAAGCACCGGCUAACUCUGUGCCAGCCGCCGCAGUAAGAC
rnacentral:rRNA from 1 species